GAGAUGUGAAAGCUUUCGAACAGAUCCUUCAAGAUAAUCUGAAAGAUUUCGCUGUCGGUAGCGACGGCAAAUACUGUGGCUACUGUGAUUCGGAGAAUGAGAUCAAAAGACUAUUGAAUAGUCUUAAGUGCAUAGGGUAUUCAUACUCGGUAACCCACGAAUCUUCUUCCAGCAUUUUCAGGGUAACGUUGAAAUCCCAUUUAUGGGAUAUCCGUUUUCGGUGGAAUAUUCCAGCUACCAACAAUGCACCCUGGGCCCCAAAUAUUACAGUAAAAAGGAGACUGUUGUUACAAGUCACCUGGCUGACCAUGUUAACCCAGCAAAAAAGAGAUUGUUGAUUAUGGAUACGAAAAAGAGCGAUUACCCUGCCACUUUUUCAAUUAAAUGUGUUAAAGUGUAUCCAGGCUAUUCUG